UCAACAUGAAUAUUAAAAUCACCACAAAGAAGAAUUCUAUCAUAAUUUAACACAAGACUGGAUAAAAACUCAGGGAGUUCCAACAAGAAGGAGCCAGCUGGUUUAGGGGGGCGAUAAAUAAUAGCAAAUAUGACUGGCAGGGGGCCACCAAGUUUAAACAUGAGCACUUCAAAGGAGGAAAAGUCAUUGCAAGCUAUGAGGUUACACUUUUAAUGCUUCCUAUAGACAGUAACAAGGCCACCACCAUGACCACAAUCCCUAGGGCGACUAAAGCAGUCAUAAUCAGGAGGGCACAAUUCAGCCAGCUGACUGUGAUCACCAGGACGUAACCAGGAUUCAGUUAAGAACAUAAAAUCUAAAUCAGUAGAAGAGAUUAAAUCAUUUAAAAUAAACGUUUUGUUAGAGAGGGAUCUUACAUUGAGAAGAGUCAUCUUAAAAAGUCUGUGCUGGGUCAGAGCUGAAGUUGAGUUAAUCCUUAACUAUCCCAUUUGCUUGUUUUCACCUUUUGUUUUUCUUGUCUUUUAAAUACAAUUUGUGUGUGUUUUCUGUUUUCUUCUUUCUCAUUUUGAAUGUAUUCCUAUUUUUAAUGUAUUUCUAUGCCCCUGUAAAGCACUUUGAAUUGCCUUGUGUCUGAAUGAAUGCUAUAUAAAUAAACUUGCCUUGCCUUACAUGCUAACACGAUUGCUAAUGCUAAAGUUAAAGUUUGGCACUGAUACCUGAACACUGGGGAAAUAGUACAACGAUGGUGUAGUAGCAAGGAGCAACAAUCCAGCUGGCAAUAUGGAAUUAAAAAUAGAACUGUAUGUCCCUUGGCUGUGUGUAAGAGCUGUGUGCAACCUACUUAUUAGAAGGCAUGGGGUAACCCCAUGACAGGAGGCUUUGGUAUUAAAAUAUAUACUGGUGUGUUUGUAACAAGGUUGCUGUCAAGCAGUCCAAAAAGUGAAGUGGGAAAAGUCCACGGUGACCAAACACAAGAUCCAAAAUACUUAAAUCCAAAACUGGGAAAAUCAAGGUUGAUUAACAAAUUCAACCAUUCAAAGUUAACAACAUAAAAAAUGUAGGACUAAAAAGUAUAAAAUAGGUGAUAAGAGUUGUUCCAACAAGCAGUUACGUUUGAGCGUUGCAUGGUGAUGGCGUCACACAACAUAGUCAGAGUUGCUUCAGGACCUGCAGACGUAUAUAACCAAACUGUAUAUAACAAAAAAACUUGUGGCCAAACUAAACAGAAUUUUGAAAAAAUGAUUGAAAAAUCUAAUCAACAACCUUGCACUACGACUUCAGCAGCCCGAUAUUCCCUUCAAAAUUAACUCCACUUGGUUCAGAUACCUAGAGAUCAAUAUAACACAAACCUUGUCCUCUCUUUUUUCCGCCAACUUUUCCCCUUUGAUUACACAGGUUAGAGCCUGCCAUUGUCACGGAUCGGAAGGAUUAACGCUGUGAAACUGAACAUCCUACCCAAAUUCCUUUUUUACUUUCUCUCGCUGUUCUUACCCAAAAAAUUCUAAACUAUUGAUGAGGUUAUAUCAACCUUUUUAUGGAACAAACAAUCUCCCAGGAUUCGUAAAUCACUACUACAAAAAUGUAAUUUUAAUGGGGGUCUCGCGCUACCUAAUCUUAAAUUGCAAUAUUGGUCAGCACACAUUCAGAAAAUAACUUAUUGGCUUAGAUCUUCAGAUACUCCAUGGUGUAGACUAGAGGCACAGUCUUGCAAUUCAUCCUCUCAUAAAGCUCUACUUAGUUCCUUUCUAACCCUCAACCCCUCUGGCUUUACAGAUAAUCCGGUAGUGAGAUCCACCUUUUGGAUCUGGUAUAAAUUCAGGGGCCACUUCAAAUUCUUGUCAGCUUCCUCUAGUACACCUCUAAUGAAGAACCAUUUAUGCCCCACAUCACUUACAGAUGCUAUUUUUCUGCAAUGGCACAACAAAGCCAUAAGGUGUUUUCAAGAUCUAUUCAAAGAAGAGGACUUCCGCAGUUUUGCAGUUUUCCACUGAAUAUGGGCUGCCAACAUCCCACGUAUUCCCAUUCAGGUCCGACAUUGUGCAGUUUCCCUCUUUCCAAACUACCCCUCUAUGCCCCCUAAACAACCCUGGGAAGAUCUUCUUGAGCUUAAUCAUAAACAGACGUCUACAGUAAGCUCUUAUCACUUGAUGAGUGUUCCAUUACCAAAACAAGGGCGACAUGGGAGCAGGUGCUGGGCAGAAAAUUCACAGAGGAAGGGUGGAAAGAGGCUCUCAAAACUCUCUCUGUGCCCGACUUGGACUCAUACAGUUCAAAGUCCUGCACAGGGUUCUCUAAAGUUCUCUAAAGCCCGGUUAUCUAAAAUAUUUCCAGAAGUAGAGGACAGGUGUGACAGAUGUCGUACAUCUUCAUGCAACUUAAGUCAUGUUCUGUUCAUGCCCAAAGUUAUACCGUUUUUGGCAGGGCUAUUUUGGGACUGUCUAAAAUAUUUAGGAUUAAUAUUAAAAACUGGAAAAGAUCAGGUAUGAACUGACAGGAAAUGGCGAUCCUUUAUAACAUACUUCAACUCACUGAAGGUCUUACCGCCAGACUAAACUUCUAUCUUCUUCUUCUUCCUUUUCUUUCCUCCCUCUUUCUUUUUUCAUCAUUCUUUUUUUUGUGCUUGUUUCUUUGUUUCAUUAUUGCUCCUUCAACAGUUUGUUAAUAUGUGCAAGGGACACAUACAGCUUUAAGCAAUUUUCCACUUCUGGUGAGGGUGGGUGAAGGGGUGAUGGGGCUGUGGGGGAACUGUAAUAAACAAAUGAGGGGGAGUAUCGGAAUUACAUUUUUCCUGUAAAAUGUUGAACUGACUCAAAUCUGCACUCAUUAAUAAAGAAAUUAAUAUAAAAAAAUGAAUGGGUACAUUUACUUUUGAUACUUAAAAUAAAUUUUGCUGAAAAUACUUACAUAUUUUUAUUUUGGAGUAUUUUCACAGUGCUCAUUGUGCACAUUGCUACUUUUACCUAAGUAAAAGGAUCUGAAUACUUAUUCCACCACUGGACGUACAUUUACAACCUCUGGUUCCUUUAUAAUUACGUGCACCAUUGAAACUAAAGAAAUGUCUUAGCUAGUAAAGACUUAAGUAAUGUGUAAAUCGGUUGCUAGGAAACUCUAUAGCGCUAUCCAAUCAAGAGCAAUCGAGUAUAUAAACAGGAAGUUCCUGCAGCAUCACUAGCUAGCAUAACUUCCAAAAAUUUGUUUUAGAGGUUCAAAAGACUUUUGUAAAUGUAUGUAUUUGAUAUAUUUGUGUCUGCAUACAUGGAGAAAUAGGUGUUUCAGAGUUAGUAGUAUGUAGUUUAUAACUAGCGGGUAAUAUAUGAUUAUGCUAACCUAACUGAUGUUAUUUAGGCCUACUCGUUUAGUCAAAUGUUACUAGCAUAACAUUUAGUCAUUUGAGGUAUGUUGUGCUAUUUUAGUGAAAUGUGAUUUAACAUCUUCAAUAUUUACACCAUUAUUAAACAACAUUUAUCAAGUUUCAGGUCAGAUAUAUGUUUUCAUUUAGUGAUACAUCAGCCUCCACCUAGUGCACACUUACAUUUGAACUAGGCUAGCGGCAGUUUGAACAGCUGGUGCAACCGGCUCCAGGGGAACUUCAAGACUGGUCAGUGUGGCCCAUGGCCAGGUUAACCGCUGUAGUAUAUACUCAUAGGGACACAGAAACUAACUAGUACCUGGCUUUAGGUUUGGUGUGUGUCAAUUAGUUGGUGGUCAUUUCAUCAGUGGUGGAAGGAGUACUCAUAUCCUUUACAUAAUAGCAACACCAUCAUUUGAAAAUACUCCACUACAAGUAGAAGUCCUGCAUUCAAAAUGUUACCUAAGUUCAAGUACAGACGUAUUAUUGGCAAAAUAUACUUCAAAUGUAUUAGAAAUACUCUACUAUGCAGAAUGGCCCUUUUCAGGAUGGAUAAACAUGUAACAGUAUUUUAUAGUUGGUCAAUGUGGACCAAAAACAAGUGCUGUAUACUACUGGGUAGUGUAAUAAUGAAUCAUAUUUAAUGAGCUGAUCAUGUUUUGUAUGUAAAAUCUUUACUGCAAACUAGUUUUUCUCCAUUGUUUUGAUGCAGUAUUAGUAUUAAAUGUGUUUCCAUUUGCAAAAGCACACUCCAAAAAAAGAAAGAAAUGGAUUUUCCCACCUUUCAUUCCCACAACCCUACAUCACAGCUGCUUUUCCUUCUCUCUUUGCUUAAAUUUUUUAGGAACCACUAUGUAACUGUAUACUGUCUCUGUAUACAUUUCAAAUUUCUAUUUUUCUUUCUUGCUGUUUUCUGCCAAAUGUUGUAUUUUAUAAAGUUUUUGCGUUUAAAAAUAGGUUUGUCACUUACAGUGCAUCCGGAAGUAUUCACAGCGCUUCGCUUUUUCCACAUUUUGUUAUGUUACAGCCUUAUUCCAAAAUGGAUUAAAUUCAUUAUUUUCUAUAACUGCCGUACAUAUUUCUUUCAAUUAAUAUGUUCUAUAAUUUCCAUACAUAUUAUUUCUGUCGUUUUAACAUGUUUUUUGUUAUGUUUGUUUAAAUUAAUUCAUGCAUAUUGAGUGCUUAUGUUAAGUAGGAACUAAAGUACAUAUGCGUUACACACGGACAUUUUUGAAAGAUGCAACAGGAAAAUCACGGACCUUUGGUGAGAAGUUAAUAUCUCUGCAUGUGAAUUUAAGUUGUAAAGAAGUUGCAAAGAAGAAAUCGGGGUAUUUCAAGAACUCAUUCCCUCUUGGUUAUAUGCAGCCAGCGAGUUUGACGGUGGAUUUCAUUGACGGUGAACGUGAUAGCGGAGAAAAGAAUGAGAAAGGCAAUAAAUCCAUCAGUAUCCAGAA